GACGAACGCUGGCGGCGUGCUUAACACAUGCAAGUAGAACGAAGUGGCGAACGGGUGAGUAACGCGUAAUCAACCUGCCCUUCAGAGGGGGACAACAGUUGAAAACGACUGCUAAUGCCGCAUACUGAAGGCGGGAAUUGCGUCUGAUGAGGUAGUUGGAGGGAGAACGGCGCACCAAGGCGAUGAUCAGUCGCCGGUCUGGGAGGAUGCACGGCCACAUUGGGACUGGGACACGGCCCAGACUCCUACGGGCGGCAGCAGUGGGGGAUCUUCCGAAAUGGAGGAAAGUCUGACGGAGCAACGCCGCGUGAGUGAUGACGGCCUUCGGGUUGUAAAGCUCUGUUAAUCGGGACGCGGUACCGGAAGAGAAAGCCACGGCUAACUCCGUGCCAGCAGCCGCGGUAAUAC
rnacentral:rRNA from 1 species